rnacentral:lncRNA from 1 species
GAGAAUGUGGAGGGAGUAAGAAGUGAGUAGGAUGGGUCCAGGAUAUGACUGUCUUUAAAAGUCAAAGGAUUUUAUAUUUGGCACGAAAGGUAAUAGGGAAAUACUGGAAUUUACUGAAUGGGAAGAAAGACAGUGGUAGGACACGGAAGAUAACAACAGCAAUAACAACAUUUAUAAACCACUUUUUAUGCCUUGGGCACUGUGCUAAAUGCUUUGCAAUCAUGUCGUUUGAUCCUCACAACAACCAGGGAGGAGAAGACUUGACUAAAUUUAGAGAAGUGCAAAAUUUAUCACUAAAAGGUGGGUUUAUGUUUUCAUCAAGAUUAUUGAAGAUCACAACAACUCAUGAAAAUCUUCAACUAAGUUUUAGAGGAAGUACCAUACUUUGAUGGAUCCUGGAAUCACUGAAUGAAUAAUGGACACAAACAAGGUUGCAAUUUCUGUAUAACAUACAGUGCAGAAUAUAUUUUAUUUGGUCUCAAGAAGUUUUCCUCCCAAGGGUUACAACCUUAGCUAAUGCAGACUAAUUAUUAUUUCCCCCCAUCCUUGGUAAUUGAUAUAGGGUUGGAUUGAGAACUACUUGAACCUUAAUUUCAUUUCACUUUGAAAAUGUCUUUAAUGGGCUGGAAUUUAAUAAAGACAUUGGAAAAGUUGAAACA